rnacentral:lncRNA from 1 species
AACCUAAUCGGGUCAAACCCAACUGAAUCCAAUUCAAUUGGACUUGAUCCAAAAAUAAUUACUCAAUCAAAUUGAGUUAAUUAGUGAUCAAAUCACUAAUUAAACUUCUCAUAAAUAUUGAGUCCAAAUUCGAUGGGUAAUCAGGCAUCAGAAUUCAUCGAUAUGUAACCCUGAUCGAAGAGUCCCAAACCAGUGGGACUCUUGACCCCGGUACCCAAAAU